GGCCGCGGGAAUUCGAUUAGAGUUUGAUCAUGGCUCAGGACGAACGCGGCGGCGUGCUUAACACAUGCAGUCGAGCGGAAAGGCCCUCGGGGUACUCGAGCGCGAACGGGUGAGUAACACGUGAGCAACCUGCCCUUGGCUUUGGGAUAACCCUCGGAAACGGGGGCUAAUACCGAAUAUCCAUUUUCUUCCGCAUGGGGGUUGAUGGAAAGUUUUUCGGCCAGGGAUGGGCUCGCGGCCUAUCAGCUUGUUGGUGGGGUAAUGGCCUACCAAGGCAACGACGGGUAGCUGGUCUGAGAGGAUGUCCAGCCACACUGGGACUGAGACACGGCCCAGACUCCUACGGGAGGCAGCAGUUAGGAAUCUUGCGCAAUGGGCGAAAGCCUGACGCAGCGAUGCCGCGUGCGGGAUGAAGGCCUUCGGGUCGUAAACCGCUUUCAGCAGGGACGAUAGUGACGGUACCUGCAGAAGAAGCCCCGCCAACUACGUGCCAGCAGCCGCGGAAUACGAAUCACUAGUGAAUUCGCGGCCGCCUGCAGGUCGACCAUAUGG
rnacentral:rRNA from 1 species